GACGGAAGGUGCAAGCGUUGCUCGGAAUCACUGGGCGUAAAGGGUGCGUAGGCGGCUUGGUAAGUUGGGUGUGAAAGCCCCGGGCUCAGCCCGGGAAGGGCACUCGAAACUGCCGAGCUGGAGUGCCGGAGGGGAGAGUGGAAUUCCUGGUGUAGCGGUGAAAUGCGUAGAUAUCAGGAGGAAUACCGGUGGCGAAAGCGACUCUCUGGACGGCAACUGACGCUGAGGCACGAAAGCGUGGGGGAGCAAACAGG
rnacentral:rRNA from 1 species